CCUACGGGAGGCAGCAGUGAGGAAUAUUGGUCAAUGGACGCGAGCCUGAACCAGCCAAGUCGCGUGAAGGAUGACUGCCCUACGGGUUGUAAACUUCUUUUAUAAAGGGAUAAAGUGAGGCACGUGUGCCUUUUUGUAUGUACUUUAUGAAUAAGGAUCGGCUAACUCCGUGCCAGCAGCCGCGGUAAUACGGAGGAUUCGAGCGUUAUCCGGAUUUAUUGGGUUUAAAGGGAGCGUAGAUGGUUUGUUAAGUCAGUUGUGAAAGUUUGCGGCUCAACCGUAGAAUUGCAACUGAUACUGGCAGCCUUGAGUACAGUUGAGGUAGGCGGAAUGCGUGGUGUAGCGGUGAAAUGCUUAGAUAUCACGAAGAACUCCGAUUGCGAAGGCAGCUUACUAAACUGCCACUGACAUUGAUGCUCGAAAGUGUGGGUAUCAAACAGGAUUAGAUACCCUUGUAGUC
rnacentral:rRNA from 1 species